AGUACCUUAUUCUACCUCCUUGCUCUGUGACCUUGUCAGAUCUGAAAAAGUAAGCAUGGUUCAACUGGGUCAGUAGUUGGAUGGGAGAGCUUAAGGGAAACCCUAGGUAUGGGAACUU
rnacentral:rRNA from 1 species